rnacentral:misc_RNA from 1 species
GAUGAAGAACGUAGCGAAAUGCGAUACUUGGUGUGAAUUGCAGAAUCCCGUGAACCAUCGAGUCUUUGAACGCAAGUUGCGCCCGAAGCCAUUUGGUUGAGGGCACGUCUGCCUGGGCGUCACAUAUCGUUGCCCGAUGCCUAUUGCACCGUGAUAGGAAAUUCUAGGGCGAAAGAUGGCUUCCCGUGAGCGUUGUUGCCUCGCGGUUGGUUGAAAAUUGAGUCCUUGGUAGGGUGUGCCAUGAUAGAUGGUGGUCGAGUUUGCACGAGACCGAUCAUGUGUGCGCUCCCCAAAAUAUGGACUCUUUGACCCCACACGCGUCUUUUGACGCUCAUGACGAGACCUCAGGUCAGGCGGGGCUACCCGCUGAGUUUAAGCAUAUCAAUAAGCGGAGGA